rnacentral:rRNA from 1 species
ACUGUCGCCGUUGAUUUCACACCUCCUGGAGAAGCUCGAUGUCCUUAAUUGGGUGUCUUGCGGAACCAGGACCUUUACCUUGAAAAAAUUAGAGUGUUUAAAGCAGGCAUUAUUGCUCGAAUACAUUAGCGUGGAAUAAUAGAAUAGGACGGCAUGGUUCUAUUUUGUUGGUUUCUAGGAUGGACGUAAU